AGCAGUGCAAAGUAAACUAGACAUAGAACAGUAAUUGGAUACAUACAUAUUUAUUUUUCAAUUCUUCAUGGUACACACCCUUUCAUUUUCGAUGGAUGAACAUAAAUCUGUAGUUACAAACCGCCCAAGAGACUGUUUAGCAUGCAAACUUAUUAGUGGAUUUGGAUUAUCGGGAGCUGGCGUGUAUGUAGCAAAACAAGCAUAUUCAAUGAAGAGAGGCUAUGGACAAUAUUUUUUGUAUACUUUUAGUCUAGGUUCGAUAGGACUAGGUAUUGCAAGACUGUUGGAUCUUCCACCUUUUGAUACUUUUCAACAGCCUGGCAAUAACAAAAGUGAUGGUGUUUCAUAGUUGUGACAUUGGUGGAUUGUAGAAAAUAAAUAUUUCUUGCAUUUAUGUAACCAUAUCUUAUUUCUAUUCGUCAUUACAAAACAACAGUUUACUCUGGAAAAGGAAUUUUAAUAAUUUAUUUGAAACUUGCACAAGAGUGUAAACUGUACAUUCUGCAUUAGACAUAAAAGAGAUAUUGAAAUAAGAAACAUUGAUUUUUGAGUUGAGCAAUUUCCGACUAAUAGUUUUUAACCUUAAAAUCAACAUCAAACUGAAGAUUAAUAUUUACAAUUUUAUGAAAUAUUUAUUGAAUUGCUGCCUUUUGUAUAUACUAUAUGUUGAAUAUUAUUGUGUAAAUGCUGUACAGUGGCAAUCUUCUGGGACGUAUCCUGAUAAAAUUAAAGCAUGUAUCAAGUUGUUCUGUUGUUUGUACAAAAUAUCGUCAUGUUUCUCAAGAUUUAUAUAAUAAAUAUUACUUUUAAAACCAUA